GUGGUAAUGCCGGAUGCUCCAGUUGGAUGCAUGUCCUUCUGGGAAAGAUUCAUCGGUAUGGGAUGGGGUCGCGUCCUAUCAGCUUGAUGGCGGGGUAACGGCCCACCAUGGCUUCGACGGGUAGCCGGCCUGAGAGGGCGACCGGCCACAUUGGGACUGAGAUACGGCCCAGACUCCUACGGGAGGCAGCAGUGGGGAAUAUUGCACAAUGGGCGCAAGCCUGAUGCAGCGACGCCGCGUGCGGGAUGACGGCCUUCGGGUUGUAAACCGCUUUUGACUGGGAGCAAGCCCUUCGGGGUGAGUGUACCUUUCGAAUAAGCACCGGCUAACUACGUGCCAGCAGCCGCGGUAAUACGUAGGGUGCAAGCGUUAUCCGGAAUUAUUGGGCGUAAAGGGCUCGUAGGCGGUUCGUCGCGUCCGGUGUGAAAGUCCAUCGCUUAACGGUGGAUCCGCGCCGGGUACGGGCGGGCUUGAGUGCGGUAGGGGAGACUGGAAUUCCCGGUGUAACGGUGGAAUGUGUAGAUAU
rnacentral:rRNA from 1 species